CCUACGGGAGGCAGCAGUGGGGAAUAUUGGACAAUGGGCGAAAGCCUGAUCCAGCAAUGCCGCGUGAGUGAUGAAGGCCUUCGGGUCGUAAAGCUCUUUUACCAGGGAUGAUAAUGACAGUACCUGGAGAAUAAGCUCCGGCUAACUCCGUGCCAGCAGCCGCGGUAAUACGGAGGGAGCUAGCGUUGUUCGGAAUUACUGGGCGUAAAGAGUACGUAGGCGGUUAUUCAAGUCAGAGGUGAAAGCCCGGGGCUCAACCCCGGAACUGCCUUUGAAACUAGAUAGCUAGAGUCUUGGAGAGGUUAGUGGAAUUCCGAGUGUAGAGGUGAAAUUCGUAGAUAUUCGGAAGAACACCAGUGGCGAAGGCGACUAACUGGACAAGUACUGACGCUGAGGUACGAAAGCGUGGGGAGCAAACAGGAUUAGAUACCCUGGUAGUCCACGCCGUAAACGAUGAUAACUAGUUGUUCGGUCACUUGGUGACUGAGUGACGCAGCUAACGCAUUAAGUUAUCCGCCUGGGGAGUACGGUCGCAAGAUUAAACUCAAAGGAAUUGACGGCUGAGACGUUGCGAGAGACACGAGGAGAGG
rnacentral:rRNA from 1 species